rnacentral:misc_RNA from 1 species
GAUGAAGAACGCAGCGAAAUGCGAUAAGUAAUGUGAAUUGCAGAAUUCAGUGAAUCAUCGAAUCUUUGAACGCACAUUGCGCCCCUUGGUAUUCCGAGGGGCAUGCCCGUUCGAGCGUCAUUAUACCCCUCAAGCCUAGCUUGGUGUUGGGGCCUGCUGUUACCGGCAGCCCUUAAAAUCAGUGGCGGUGCCAUCUGGCUCUAAGCGUAGUAAUACUUCUCGCUACAGGGUCCCGGUGGAUGCUUGCCAUCAACCCCUAAUUUUCUAUGGUUGACCUCGGAUCGGGUAGGGAUACCCGCUGAACUUAAGCAUAUCAAUAAGCGGAGGA